rnacentral:rRNA from 1 species
AGUGAACGCUGGCGGCAGGCCUAACACAUGCAAGUCGAACGGCAGCACAAGAGAGCUUGCUCUCUGGGUGGCGAGUGGCGGACGGGUGAGGAAUGCAUCGGAAUCUGCCCAUUUGUUGGGGAUAACCCCGGGAAACCGGGACUAAUACCGCAUACGACCUACGGGUGAAAGCAGGGGAUCUUCGGACCUUGCGCAGAUGGAUGAGCCGAUGCCGGAUUAGCUAGUUGGAGGGGUAAAGGCCCACCAAGACGCCGAUCCGUAGCUGGUCUGAGAGGAUGAUCAGCCACACUGGGACUGAGACACGGCCCAGACUCCUACGGGAGGCAGCAGUGGGGAAUAUUGGACAAUGGGCGCAAGCCUGAUCCAGCCAUGCCGCGUGUGUGAAGAAGGCCCUCGGGUUGUAAAGCACUUUUGUUGGGAAAGAAAAGCAGCCGGUUAAUACCCGGUUGUCAUGACGGUACCCAAAGAAUAAGCACCGGCUAACUUCGUG